rnacentral:rRNA from 1 species
GAUGAACGCUGGCGGCGUGCCUAAUACAUGCAAGUCGAGCGAACAGACGAGGAGCUUGCUCCUCUGACGUUAGCGGCGGACGGGUGAGUAACACGUGGAUAACCUACCUAUAAGACUGGGAUAACUUCGGGAAACCGGAGCUAAUACCGGAUAAUAUAUUGAACCGCAUGGUUCAAUAGUGAAAGACGGUUUUGCUGUCACUUAUAGAUGGAUCCGCGCCGCAUUAGCUAGUUGGUAAGGUAACGGCUUACCAAGGCGACGAUGCGUAGCCGACCUGAGAGGGUGAUCGGCCACACUGGAACUGAGACACGGUCCAGACUCCUACGGGAGGCAGCAGUAGGGAAUCUUCCGCAAUGGGCGAAAGCCUGACGGAGCAACGCCGCGUGAGUGAAGAAGGUCUUCGGAUCGUAAAACUCUGUUAUUAGGGAAGAACAAAUGUGUAAGUAACUAUGCACGUCUUGACGGUACCUAAUCAGAAAGCCACGGCUAACUACGUG